CGCGACACCGAUACCACCGAGAGCAGCGGCGGCGACACCGAGACAGCGGGCCAGAGCGCGGGCGUUUGUGCGCUGGCUCCUCGAGCAGCAGUUCUCUGAUGCAUCGGAAUGUUUCAGGGAUGCUUGUCAAGCCGAAGGAGCUUCAUGACCUCCUUCCUGCAUCCUUUCUGUCGGCAACGCUCUCCACUUGC